UACAGAGGUCCCAAGCGUUGUUCGGAUUCACUGGGCGUAAAGGGUGCGUAGGCGGCUGUCCACGUCGGAUGUGAAAGCUCGGGGCUCAACCCUGAGAGGCCAUUCGAUACGGGAUAGCUAGAGGUAGGUAGGGGAGAGUGGAAUUCCUGGUGUAGCGGUGAAAUGCGCAGAUAUCAGGAGGAACACCGGUGGCGAAGGCGGAUCUCUGGGCCUUACCUGACGCUGAGGAGCGAAAGCUGGGGGAGCAAACAGG
rnacentral:rRNA from 1 species